AUCCCUGUCUUCCACUCUGCAGGUAGGUCUUUAUCCCUGUCUUCCUCUUCAGGUAGGUCUUUAUCCCUGUCUUCCUCUCCAGGUAGGUCUUUAUCCCUGUCUUCUACUCUUCAGGUAGGUCUUUAUCCCUGUCUUCCACUCUUCAGGUAGGUCUUUAUCCCUGUCUUCCCAGGUAGGUCUUUAUCCCUGUCUUCCCAGUUAGGUCUUUAUCCCUGUCUUCCCAGGUAGGUCUUUAUCCCUGUCUUCCCAGGUAGGUCUUUAUCCCUGUCUUCCCAGGUAGGUCUUUUUCCCUGUCUUCCUCUCAAGGCCCUGCAUUAGAAUUGUACAUCACAGCAUGCUGCAGAAACAGGAGAUCGGUUCCUACCCU
ensembl:lncRNA